rnacentral:rRNA from 1 species
UACGGAGGGUGCAAACGUUGUUCGGAAUCAUUGGGCGUAAAGGGUGCGUAGAUGGCAUGAUAAGUUAUUAGUGGGAAAUCGAGGCUCAACCUCGUGGAAGCUAGUAAUACUGUUUUGCUUGAGUACAGAAGAGGUUAAUGGAAUUCCAUGUGGAGCGGUAAAAUGUGUAGAUAUAUGGAAGAACAUCAAUAACGGCGAAGGCAGUUAACUAUUCUGUUACUGACAUUGAGGCACGAAAGCGUGGGGAGCAAAACGG